GACCCAGUGGUGUAAUGUAACACUCCAGUUCCUCAUAUAUCGUCGACGUUCUUUUCACUCCGUCAGCUGGCGAUCCCCGUUCGACUCGGGGCUGGGUCA